GGAUGAACGCUGGCGGCGUGCUUAACACAUGCAAGUCGAACGGAAAGGCCACAGCUUGCUGUGGUACUCGAGUGGCGAACGGGUGAGUAACACGUGGGUGAUCUGCCCUGUACUUCGGGAUAAGCUUGGGAAACUGGGUCUAAUACCGGAUAGGAAUCACAUGUGGGUGUGUGGUUGGAAAGCUUUUGCGGUAUGGGAUGAGCUCGCGGCCUAUCAGCUUGUUGGUGGGGUAAUGGCCUACCAAGGCGUCGACGGGUAGCCGGCCUGAGAGGGUGUACGGCCACAUUGGGACGGAGAUACGGCCCAGACUCCUACGGGAGGCAGCAGUGGGGAAUAUUGCACAAUGGGCGCAAGCCUGAUGCAGCGACGCCGCGUGGGGGAUGACGGCCUUCGGGUUGUAAACUCCUUUCGUCAGGGACGAAGCGAAAGUGACGGUACCUGGAUAAGAAGCACCGGCUAACUACGUG
rnacentral:rRNA from 1 species